rnacentral:miRNA from 1 species
AUGUUGUUAUUGGAUGAUGACGGU